rnacentral:rRNA from 1 species
UACAGAGGUCUCAAGCGUUGUUCGGAAUCACUGGGCGUAAAGGGUGCGUAGGCCGCACGGUAAGUCAGAGGUGAAAUCCUGGAGCUCAACUCCGGAAUUGCCUCCGAUACUGCCGUGCUUGAGGACUGGAGAGGAGUCUGGAAUUCACAGUGGAGCAGUGAAAUGCGUAGAUAUUGUGAGGAACACUAGUGGCGAAGGCGAGACUCUGGACAGUUCCUGACGCUGAGGCACGAAGGCCAGGGGAGCAAACGGG